rnacentral:rRNA from 1 species
UACGUAGGGUGCGAGCGUUAAUCGGAAUUACUGGGCGUAAAGCGUGCGCAGGCGGUUUUGUAAGCCAGAUGUGAAAUCCCCGGGCUUAACCUGGGAAUGGCAUUUGGGACUGCAAGGCUUGAGUGCGGCAGAGGAGACUGGAAUUCCCGGUGUAGCAGUGAAAUGCGUAGAUAUCGGGAGGAACAUCAGUGGCGAAGGCGGCCCUCUGGUCCAGUACUGACACUCAAGUGCGAAAGCGUGGGGAGCAAACAGG